rnacentral:rRNA from 1 species
CCUACGGGAGGCUGCAGUGGGGAAUAUUGCACAAUGGGGGAAACCCUGAUGCAGCGACGCCGCGUGAAGGAAGAAGUAUUUCGGUAUGUAAACUUCUAUCAGCAGGGAAGAAAAUGACGGUAACUGACUAAGAAGCCCCGGCUAACUAGGUGCCAGCAGCCGCGGUCAUACGUAGGGGGCAAGCGUUAUCCGGAUUUACUGGGUGUAAAGGGAGCGUAGGCGGUGAUGCAAGUCAGAAGUGAAAGCCCGCAGCUAAACUGCGGGACUGCAUUUGAAACUGUAUGACUAGAUUGCAGGAGAGGUAAGUGGAAUUCCUAGUGUAGCGGUGAAAUGCGUAGAGAUUAGGAGGAACACCAGUGGCGAAGGCGGCUUACUGGACUGUAAAUGACGCUGAGGCUCGAAAGCGUGGGGAGCAAACAGGAUUAGAUACCCCUGUAGUC